UCUCCGGCACCUGGAAAAAUGCGUGUACUGUAGCCACACUCAAUAUUUGUUGACUGAAUGAAUCCAUGAAGGGGUAUUUAAAUUAAUUUCUAUUUCUUGGCAGUUAAAGGGAUUGGAGCCACAGAACGUGUGAUAUCAUCAGAAGAAAACUCAGAACAUGGAGCAUGACUCGGAACAGGGGAGCCAUCGUGGGAGGUUCCUUGCCCGACGAUCACACAGUGGAUUGAGAAAGAAAAGAGGAGAAGUGACAGGAAAGAAGAGGCCCCAAAGGAGAUGCUGGGAGGAACUCAGUGGAUAAGCUCUCCAUUUGGCAAGUUUGCCGUGUGCUGCCCUUCUGUGUAAACCCAGCCAGGGAAAGCACCCCCAAAAGCCAGCUGCCAGGGGAGCCUGAGAAAACAGAGGCUGGAGAUAAGAGAAGACUUGGGGCCUUUUACAGCAAGUGCAAACUUUCACACCUGUCAGCAAUAAAUCAAGAGGUUUAUGGGGCUGCAAUAUUUACACUCUAAUUAAAAAAUCAUAAAGCAAGCACCCUUUCAGGUUGUGGAAAACAAAACUACAAAACUUCUACAGCAGCGGCGGUUAAUCAGUGACUCUUAAUGAUCUGCUGCCCAGUACCAACAUGGGGCAUUUAUUCAGCCGCAAACAGCAAACAAGACAGCAGGAGAAGGUGGGACUGGCACCAGAGAUCAGCCUUCGCAGGUGGCCAUGACUUGUGUUUCUGAACCUGUCCAGAGCCGGAGAUGACUGCAGAGAUCUCCUCUGGAGCACUCAGUCUUGAUUUCCAGCCUGACUCCACCAUCUACUGGCCGUGCAACUUUGGCCCCAGUACUGGUGAAUGCUGGCAAAUGGCAAAGAAAGAAAGAAGGAAUCUGAAACCCUGCUGACCUCAUGGAGCAGAGCUGUCUACUGGCUCCAGACUGCCCGCCUACAACUGGACAGAGAAAUAAAUACACUGCUGUCUUGUUUGAA